rnacentral:rRNA from 1 species
GAGUUUGAUCAUGGCUCAGGACGAACGCUGGCGGCGUGCUUAACACAUGCAAGUCGAACGGUAAGGCCCCUUCGGGGGUACACGAGUGGCGAACGGGUGAGUAACACGUGAGCAACCUGCCCUUGACACUGGGAUAAGCGAUUGAAAAGUCGUCUAAUACCGGAUAUGACUCUCACAGGCAUCUGUGAGGGUGGAAAUGCUCCGGCGGUCAAGGAUGGGCUCGCGGCCUAUCAGCUUGUUGGUGAGGUAACGGCUCACCAAGGCUUCGACGGGUAGCCGGCCUGAGAGGGCGACCGGCCACACUGGGACUGAGAUACGGCCCAGACUCCUACGGGAGGCAGCAGUGGGGAAUAUUGCGCAAUGGGCGAAAGCCUGACGCAGCAACGCCGCGUGCGGGAUGACGGCCUUCGGGUUGUAAACCGCUUUCAGCAGGGACGAAGGGUUUCUGACGGUACCUGCAGAAGAAGCACCGGCCAACUACGUGCCAGCAGCCGCGGUGAUACGUAGGGUGCGAGCGUUGUCCGGAAUUAUUGGGCGUAAAGAGCUUGUAGGCGGNUUGUCACGUCGGAAGUGAAAACUCAGGGCUUAACCCUGAGCCUGCUUCCGAUACGGGCAGACUAGAGGAAGGUAGGGGAGAAUGGAACUCCUGGUGGAGCGGUGGAAUGCGCAGAUAUCANGAAGAACACCGG